UACGUAGGGUGCGAGCGUUGUCCGGAAUUACUGGGCGUAAAGAGCUCGUAGGUGGUUUGUCGCGUUGUUCGUGAAAACCGGGGGCUUAACCCUCGGCGUGCGGGCGAUACGGGCAGACUGGAGUACUGCAGGGGAGACUGGAAUUCCUGGUGUAGCGGUGGAAUGCGCAGAUAUCAGGAGGAACACCGGUGGCGAAGGCGGGUCUCUGGGCAGUGACUGACGCUGAGGAGCGAAAGCGUGGGGAGCGAACAGG
rnacentral:rRNA from 1 species